GCGGCGUGCCUAAUACAUGCAAGUCGAGCGCGCUCCCUCGGGGGCGAGCGGCGGACGGGUGAGUAACACGUGGAUAACCUGUCCAGAAGUCGGGGAUUACCCCUGGAAACGGGGGUCAAUACCGGAUACGCCCUCCGGAUCGCAUGAUUCGAGGGGGAAAGGUGCCUUCGGGUGUCGCUUUUGGGUGGAUCCGCGGCGCAUUAGCUAGUUGGUGAGGUAAGGGCUCACCAAGGCGACGAUGCGUAGCCGGCUUGGGAGAGCGGACGGCCACACUGGGACUGAGACACGGCCCAGACUCCUACGGGAGGCAGCAGUAGGGAAUUUUCCGCAAUGGGCGAAAGCCUGACGGAGCGACGUCGCGUGGGUGAAGACGGCCUUCGGGUUGUAAAGCCCUGUUCAUCGGGAAGAAGAAAUGACGGUACCGGUGAAGAAAGCCCCAGCUAACUACGUGCCAGCAGCCGCGGUAAUACGUAGGGGGCGAGCGUUGUCCGGGAUGAUUGGGCGUAAAGGGCGUGUAGGCGGAUGUAUAGGUCGGGCGUGAAAGGCGCGGGCUCAACCCGUGUAAGCGUUCGAAACGGUGCAUCUUGAGUGCGGUA
rnacentral:rRNA from 1 species